UACGUAGGGUGCAAGCGUUGUCCGGAAUUAUUGGGCGUAAAGAGCUCGUAGGCGGUUUGUCGCGUCUGCUGUGAAAACCCGAGGCUCAACCUCGGGCCUGCAGUGGGUACGGGCAGACUAGAGUGCGGUAGGGGAGAUUGGAAUUCCUGGUGUAGCGGUGGAAUGCGCAGAUAUCAGGAGGAACACCGAUGGCGAAGGCAGCUUGCUACACAGUUAUUGACGCUGAGGCACGAAAGCGUGGGGAUCAAACAGG
rnacentral:rRNA from 1 species